CCUACGGGUGGCAGCAGUGGGGAAUAUUGGACAAUGGGGGGAACCCUGAUCCAGCCAUGCCGCGUGUGUGAAGAAGGCCCUCGGGUUGUAAAGCACUUUCAGUGAGGAAGAACGCCUGGUGGUUAAUACCAUCAGGAAAGACAUCACUCACAGAAGAAGCACCGGCUAACUCCGUGACAGCAGCCGCGGUAAUACGGAGGGUGCGAGCGUUAAUCGGAAUUACUGGGCGUAAAGCGCGCGUAGGUGGCUUGAUAAGCCGGUUGUGAAAGCCCCGGGCUCAACCUGGGAACGGCAUCCGGAACUGUCAAGCUAGAGUGCAGGAGAGGAAGGUAGAAUUCCCGGUGUAGCGGUGAAAUGCGUAGAGAUCGGGAGGAAUACCAGAGGCGAAGGCGGCCUUCUGGACUGACACUGACACUGAGGUGCGAAAGCGUGGGUAGCAAACAGGAUUAGAUACCCCUGUAGUC
rnacentral:rRNA from 1 species